UUAUCUUUAUGUAUCUUACCUUCCAUUUUUAUAAAGUUAUUGAUUAUUAUUGUAUUAGUGAGGAGAAGGAACCUCUCACUUUAAAUAGAGAGAAACAUUUAUCAUUUUACAAAAGCUAAGAGAACCACCAAAUUAUUUUUCAUACCAAACCCAUUCUUCUCUCUUACAACUUCAACUCCAAUAUCACAUCUUUGUUUACUUCUAUGGGAACUCUAGCACCAAAUGAUACCAACUUUUAUGGCAACAACAAUUUCAUACUAUGUUUCAAUUUCACCUAAACAUUCAACAUACAACUAAAAGGACAUAGAUAACUUAAUUUCACUCUUAAAAUUUCUUUGUAGAGUCCUAUUCAUAAUCCCGACCUUCACUUCUUUGUUGUCGAACUUUCUUUUCUUUUCUUACUUUCUUCUUCGCUAAGAAAUUUUCACACUUCAUGAGAGAUUUCAUGAAUGGCCGAAACUCUUCUUUCUUAAGACUUAAGAGAUUCUACGAGUUUUA